CAACUUGGAGGAAUGUAUAGCAAUAGCUACUUGCAUCAGUUGAAGGAUGAUGCAAGAUCGACUAUGUUGAAUAAAAUUCUAGGUAGAAUUAUGAUAAUGACAUUGUCUGCCUAUGUGUCUUGACCAAAUUACGUGCCAGCAGUCGCGGUAAUACGUAGAAGACUAGUGUUAUUCAUGUUUAAUCGGUUUAAAGGGUACCUAGACGGUAAAUCAAGCUUUUUCAUAAGAAAUGUACUAAUUUACUAGAGUUACUUACGGUGGGGCAUUAAAGUACUGUUGGUGUAGAGAUGAAAUUCUAUCAUACCUCUUUUCGAAGAAAAAAUCAUGGCACUGGUAUAGGCGAAGGCAUCCCCUUAUGUGAUAACUGACGUUGAGGGACGAAGGCUUCAUGUAACAAACAGGAUUAGAUACCCUAUUAGUUGAAGCAGAAAAUGAUGAAUGUCAUAGACUAGAUAUCUAAGUUUAUUCUAUAAAUGAAAGUGUAAGCAUUCCACCUCAUGAGUAAUUUGGCAACAUUGGAAUUGAAAUCAUUAGACCGUUUCUGAAACCAGUAGUGAAGUAUGUUGUUUAAUUUGAUAACCCGCAAAAAACCUUACCACAACUUGAAUAUUUAUAUUUAUUAUUGUUUUUUCUUUUUUUUAUGAUUUUUUCAAUGAAAAAAGAAAAAAUCAUAAAAGGCAAAAAGAUAUUUUUACAAGUGUUGCACGGCUGU
rnacentral:rRNA from 1 species